rnacentral:tRNA from 1 species
GCCCGCUUAGCUCAGGGGUUAGAGCAUCGCAUUUGUAAUGCUAUGGUCAUCGGUUCAAUUUCGAUAGCCGGCU